GCCUGUAGUAGAGUUGACCUGGCUCAGUGAAGGGUAGCUUGCUACCUGUACCUAGCGGCGGACGGGUGAGUAAUGCUUAGGAAUCUGCCUAUUAGUGGGGGACAACAUUCCGAAAGGAAUGCUAAUACCGCAUACGCCCUACGGGGGAAAGCAGGGGAUCUUCGGACCUUGCGCUAAUAGAUGAGCCUAAGUCAGAUUAGCUAGUUGGUGGGGUAAAGGCCUACCAAGGCGACGAUCUGUAGCGGGUCUGAGAGGAUGAUCCGCCACACUGGGACUGAGACACGGCCCAGACUCCUACGGGAGGCAGCAGUGGGGAAUAUUGGACAAUGGGCGAAAGCCUGAUCCAGCCAUGCCGCGUGUGUGAAGAAGGCCUUUUGGUUGUAAAGCACUUUAAGCGAGGAGGAGGCUACUGGGAUUAAUACUCUUGGAUAGUGGACGUUACUCGCAGAAUAAGCACCGGCUAACUCUGUGCCAGCAGCCGCGGUAAUACAGAGGGUGCGAGCGUUAAUCGGAUUUACUGGGCGUAAAGCGUGCGUAGGCGGCUUUUUAAGUCGGAUGUGAAAUCCCUGAGCUUAACUUAGGAAUUGCAUUCGAUACUGGGAAGCUAGAGUAUGGGAGAGGAUGGUAGAAUUCCAGGUGUAGCGGUGAAAUGCGUAGAGAUCUGGAGGAAUACCGAUGGCGAAGGCAGCCAUCUGGGCCUAAUACUGACGCUGAAGUACGAAAGCAUGGGGAGCAAACAGGAUUAGAUACCCCUGGUAGUUCAUGCCGUAAACGAUGUCUACUAGCCCGUUGGGGGCUUUUGAGGCUUUAUUGGAGCAGCUAACGCGAUCAGUAGACCGCCUGGGGGAGUAAGGCCGCAGACUAAAACUCAAAUGAAUUGA
rnacentral:rRNA from 1 species